rnacentral:misc_RNA from 1 species
UUAUCAAAGAAUAUACGAUAUCGAGAUAACUAGGCAUUCAGACAUCGAUAGAAUCGCUCUCCGUGGGCUAGGUAAAGGAAGCUAGCAAAUACAAAAGAGAUAAAGUAUCAACUCUUCAGAUAAUAUAAUUGUCAACAUUUUAGCUUCGAUGUCACUACAGGUGCAUGUAAUAGUGGAAGGACUAAGCAACAGCCACUACUACUGAGAGAGGUUAUCUGGUAUCGGCAAGUGUGCUGUGCACGCGCGAAAGAGCUAAUUGGAGAUCAAGUUUGAAUUCUGGAGACGAUCGCCUACAUCUACACAUUUUGAACUUUGGUGGAACUUAUUGUGUGUAGUGCAGACUUAUCGAAAACCCUAACCCAGCAAGGGCAGAGUAUUCUAGCGUAGACAAAACUGAAAUCUGUCGAGCAAAAGAAAAAAAGGAGAUAAAGUGCAUGAAGACCAGUGGUUUGGUUUCCAUUGCAGGGAAUCUCGACUCUUGAGAAAACAAGAACAUCAUACUGACAUCGGCAAAAUUUUCAUGUAUGCACGUCGAGUGUAGCCAAAAGAGAUAACGUUUGAAUUUGUUGAUCACCUCGAUAUGAGCUUUGACCUGUGAGAUAGAUCUCAGCGUUCAUUCGGAAAGAAAACACACAAGGCUACUAUAUGCAGUAUCGAAUUUUGAUUUCUAUCUGAACGUAACUGAGACCUAGAAUCAUAGCGCAGUACUGCCAGUGAGAACAGUUCAACCUUGUGUCUUCGUCGUUCUUGCGUCUGCAUUGGUUUAUCACGCGGUCGAGCGUUUCACAGGAGGUGAAGGGUUUGGGAGACGUUCUUGAAGAUGACGGAGAAGAUGGAUAUAGAGGUUGUGAGGGACUGCUUCAAGGCAGCCAAGAAGGAGGAUGGGACCAUCAAUAUUGAAGACAUUAUGAGGGGAUAUGAGGAGAUUGCAAGACUUUACGACAUGAUGGGUUCUCUAUUUACCUUCGUAUCAAAGGACAUGCGUUAUCGCCUCAAAGCCUUGGAGACCCACCGCUCCGAUGACAGCCUCUCCGCCAACUACCAAACCGUCCAAGCCGUCCUCGACUACGAAACCUCGAACGGCAUCAAACGGAAGUCCAAACGCGGCGGCCUGUCCGGGAACCGCGCCCUCCACGAGAUGCAUUUCGACAUCGAAUUCUUCAUCGAGAUGUUCAUCACCUUGGCAGCGGGCAACGACGAGAGCAAAUGCUCCGAGCUGUCCCGCCAGGCCUUUGACAAGACGCUCAGCAAUAACGUGAACUUCGCCGUGCGCCAGGCGGCGCGUCUGGCCAUGAAGUGGUUGCCGACCCGGAAGGAGUUCAUUGAUAGUUAUCUGAAACAGGACACUGCGCAGGCGCUGGAGCUGAUCGAGCCAACCACUACUAUCAUGAAGCAGGUUUACAACAUCAUGGAAUCGGGAUUUAAAAAGCAUAAUAUAAAGAAUUAACACUAAUAGCCUAAUUGUAGAGGAGUAAAAUGCUGAGAAGUAAUUGUGAGUAAAUUGACAAGAAAGAUACAUGGUGUACCGUGAAAUCUACUACACUAUUCUUCUUCGCCAUGGAAACCUUCAGAAAUUACUAAGUAAUGAACUGUAAAUUGCAUGACAAACAACUAACUUGGCGUCUAUUUACAGUCUACCAUGUCUACUUGAAGAUUUAUUGAAUCCUCUAAAAGUAAUGCAAAUCACUUGUUCAUUUCGGUUCUAAGUCACAUGUAUACAUGCUAAACAGUUUGGUAAGAUGUGAAAUAAAAACGUGCUUUGAUUGUCAUUAUUGAAAAAA